rnacentral:rRNA from 1 species
AGAGUUUGAUCCUGGCUCAGAAUGAACGCUGGCGGCAUGCCUAACACAUGCAAGUCGAACGAGAUCUUCGGAUCUAGUGGCGCACGGGUGAGUAACGCGUGGGAACCUACCUUUUAGUACGGGACAACGUUUGGAAACGAACGCUAAUACCGUAUACGCCCUCCGGGGGAAAGGUCAGCCGCUGAAAGAGGGGCCCGCGUCUGAUUAGCUUGUUGGUAAGGUAACGGCUUACCAAGGCAACGAUCAGUAGCUGGUCUGAGAGGAUGAUCAGCCACACUGGGACUGAGACACGGCCCAGACUCCUACGGGAGGCAGCAGUGGGGAAUAUUGGACAAUGGAGGCAACUCUGAUCCAGCAAUGCCGCGUGUGUGAUGAAGGCCCUAGGGUUGUAAAGCACUUUCAACGGUGAAGAUGAUGACGGUAGCCGUAGAAGAAGCCCCGGCUAACUUCGUGCCAGCAGCCGCGGUAAU